rnacentral:rRNA from 1 species
AUGAGCCGUGCUCGUGCGUUCCUAUACAUGGUGAUCAACCACCACAGGCCCCCCAAACCCCGAUGCCACCGCCGCUUCUGUGGCGAGCAGCAAAAGGACUGCGUGUACUCGUUGCACCGCAUCGACCCGUCGACUCUCUUCCACGGCGAGGAUGAACCGCAGGCGACGGCGCCGGUGAAGACUUGCCUGCCUCCCAGCAUCACUACCUUCGACAAUCCCGCUAGGGGCUUCGCUCCCAGGGCGACAGAGUUCAUGCUCUUCGGCCGGGGCAGGGACAAGAUCCUCGCUGUCCCGCGUACAGAACCUCAGGACCAUAUGCCCGUCCUCUACGACGAUGCCUCGCAGACCACGCGCAAACUGCCCAGCACGAGAGAGGAGAAACUUAGCCCCCUCUGGCUCGCCAUCCAUGACGAUCUGUAUAUCAUGGAGAAGGCUCCACCCAAAUCGGGUGACAAGGUGUUGUCGUUCAAGUACUCCGUGGAGGCGCUGGUCCAGGCAAGACACUCGCUGGACUGGGCAUGGCACCUCCUCCCCCCACCCCCAUACGAGCCGUCGCGCGACAUUUUCAUUAAUGAUGUCCCCAACACCGCUGCGGUGGUCGGCGACUCAAACAUCUGGGUCUCCUCCAAGGGCCAGGGCACCUUCUCCCUGGGCACGGAGACGCGGGCGUGGAGCAAGGUUGCCGACUCGGAGCUCCCGUUCCAGGGACAGGUCCACUAUGCCCCACAGCACGGCCUUUGGUACGGCUUCUCGGCCAGGGAUGAAGGUGUUCUCUGUGCAGCCGAUCUGGGCAGCCUCGCCUCCACGGGCCAGCAGCCGCCGCCGCCUCUGGCUAGCCAUGAGCUGGACAUGGGCAUCAUGGCGCCCGAGGGGCGCAGCGAGCUAGGAGGUUACUCAUGCCUCGUGCACCUUGGUGGUGGCCGCUUCUCUGUCGCCAAAUACUACUCCAAUGUGGCCAUGCUCAUCGGCGUGGAAGUCGAGCGCUGCGGCGAGGUUCUCCGCUUGAUCAAGCAUAAAUCAUGCAUUUACCCCUUACGUGGGAACUCCUUUGAAUGCCUGCUCUAG